rnacentral:tRNA from 1 species
AAAAGUUGUAUUUAAUGGAAAAGGUUAGAUUACAAAUCUAAAAAUAUGAGUUCAAGUCUCAUCAACUUUUU